rnacentral:sRNA from 12 species
ACCUUAUAAAGAUGUAGUUACGCAAGACAGUAACGCAUUUCCCUUUAAGGCGAUAUUAGAUAUAGAAGUAUAAGUGAAAAGUCUUAUUGUGAAGCUACACGUUGAAAUAGGAUGAGCUUAUAUGGAAAAGGUUAACCGUAAGACCUUAUGUUGAAAAACAUUAAAAUUGACCUAAGAAUAAGAAUAUUUUUGUUAUUUUUAGUUACGGCGGU